UCCUUCCCAUUUCCUAAUGGUAUUCGGAUGCAUUCAAAAUUUCAACCCAAUAGGCUUCUACAAAUAUCCUUAAAUGUCGCAUGUUUGAUUCCAUUUUCCAAAUUUGAAGUCUACGUCCCUUUGUUGCUCUUCCCUGCUAUAAAGCCCACCGCCAUCAGAUCAUUCACCAUCAUGUUGGUGUUCUUCUCCCACCUCUCUCGAUCCAGGAAACCUAGAUCGACCUUCUAUUAAUACUACCAGACCACGACUAAUAAAUGUUUACCCUUUUGGAUUAAUAAAUUUCUUCGGUGAGUGUUCGAAACACCAAGAUCAUCAUCAGAACAAAAGAGGAUUAGUUUUCCCCAAGAGCGUCAUCAAGCCACUACGCAUACCGUCCUCCCAUUAGGUUAAUGUACGGUAUGAUUUAUUUUGUUCUUCAUCUUUCUUUUAUAUGAUUUCUAACCCUAACCCUCUUAUAUGUUUCUUAGUCCAGUAACCUGUGUUGAAUCUCCGGUUUGGAUAAAUGAAUAAAAGAAACAAUCGUUUUUAUAAUAUCUGGAAUGUAGGUUUCCGGUACUAACUUCCGAUAACCCUAACCCUCUAUAUAUGUGUUUUUUUCUUUUUCAUCAAUUUCUACAGCUUUGGUCGGUUUUGAUUUGGUUUAUUUUUUAUAUGAAACUUAUAUUGAUCUAUUGCAGAACUAUUUUUCAAACUACAUGGGUGGGUUUUUAAAUUGAUUUUAGAAAACAUUGCAAUCUAACCCCAAUGUUGAUUAAUUUGCCUCAUUGGAAGUAUUUCUUGCAACAAACUGGAGGUUUUUGACUUAGCCCUCCUUAUUCCCAGAUUGAGCAUGUUGAAUCCUAAUCAAUCAGAAAAUAUUUCUCUUAAUUUUGGCUUUCUCUAAAUAUAAGUCUCCUUAAACCUCUACGAGCCCUAAAACACCAACCAUCAGUCGUACCCUCACCGCCGGUCACCAUCAUAAGCUGCCCACCAUCUCUAUCGUCAUCUUACAUCCACCACCGGAUCUCUUUCCUCGCCACCAUCGAAUAGCCACCGAUCACUCACCUCCAUUAAUCUAAUUGUUUCUAGCCGACACCAAAUGGAGGUGUUGGAAUGAAAACGAAUGGAGGUAUAAGAAUGAAAUCGAAGUCAUGAAGAGGAACAAGAACAGGGACGAAAAAUAUGGUGCUUCGUUUUGUUUGAAUUUUCCCCCUACUUAUUACGAGUUCUAAAUGAAAACUUGUAUUAUUUUGAAUUUCAAUCCAGAGUGUAGGAAUGGGUCAAAUCAGCCACUAGGUUUGAUUUUUUUUACCUUUCCAAUCUUUUUCAUUGCAUUUGCUUUCCCUGUUUUGAUUUGUAUUUAUCAUCAAUUUUAUAAGUUUUUGUUUUGUGUUCCUUUGUAGAACAAUUUUGGGUAUGUUUUUUUUUGCUCCUUUCUAUGUAAGCCUUUUUCCCUUUCUCAUAUUUUUUUAAUUUAGAUCGAACUUAUAUGUAUUACCAUAUCUAUUUGCUCAUGUUUUUUAUUUUCUCAUGAUUUAGGUAAUGCUUGGAAAGGAACGACAACCCAAAAUCCAUCUGAGGGGUUUGGGAAUGCCCAAUAACCAUGUAGUCAUCUGGUUUCAUAGCUCCAGCCUUCAAGUAUUGAUUUCAAAAUUUCACCCCUCAAAUGCGUCCACAAUGGUAAGUACCUAAAAUGUUAUUUCAAAAUGGUUUAAACAAUGGUAAGUACCUAAAAUGUUAUUUCAAAAUGGUUUAGGAUCCAAUUUUUCUCGAGUUAUUUGAUUAGUCAACUUAUGCCGGAUAAAUCAGAUGUGCAACAUCAGAUCUAUACCUUUUGUAUUUUAUGUUAGCUUUUAAAUGUCUCAGGCCUAUACUUUUGCUUUCGUGCUGAUUUCAAUAUACAUGUUGAAAUUUGGGUCUGUCAUUGUUUAUGUUGAAACGAAAGUUCACCUAAUUUUUUUUGAAUCCGGUAUCUUUUAAAAAAAAUAUCUUAUCCUUGCAAAUGAUCAACAAUUGUAGUUCCUUCAAGCUUAAUCUUUGAUUUGUGUUUUUAUUUUUUAGCUUAUUUGGGAAAACUUUCUAAUAGACUUUGUAUUGUGAUUGCAAACGAUUAAAAAAGCAUAGUUCGAAUAUCCUCCCAUUGGAUACUCACCAUACAAUCUUCCAAAACUAUGGUUCGGUUGUUCAAGCAGGGAUCAAAUGUCAUGCCUAUGGACUUUAAUCCCCAAUAACCUCUUAGGUUUAUUCCAUAUCUACUUACUUCCCCCCCUAAAUAAUGUUUGACCUCAUUCGUUUGAUACUUUUUCUCAUGAUCAUAAAUUUAUCUUAAGAGCAAAAUGCAAGAAAUGGCAAUGUACUUUCAUUUAUCUGUUUAUUAUAACAUCCUACUUCUAUUUUCAUUCUACUAUAAAACUUUUAGCACUUAGCAAUAGAGACUAUGAUUCCUUCAUGUCCUAUUCAAGUGACAAUAUGGUAUGAGUUUGGUUUUGAGUUUUUGUUUCCUGGGAUUAUAUGGUUGUUUACAUUUAUUCAGAUCUGAAUUUUAUAGUUUUCAGAUAGUUCUUUGCUUCAACAGUUUCUCAUAGAAGAUUGGCUUCUUUGGUUGGCUUACUCACAAAUUGCCAACCCCUAGCAUAGAUUAUGAUUGAAUGAUUAGCUCCCAUUGGAGAUUGUGUUUUGCACCAUUGGUUCGAAUUAAAGUUUAUAUGAUCAUUAGGUUGUGAGUUUGAGAGAUACCUGUAUGUUGCUAGAGGUUACUUUUUUGAUACACACGAGCCUGAAUAUGUUGAAAAGAGCAUGCAAGUAUAGUUACAAUGUAAUAACAAAAAUAUUCAUUAUAGUUUCAUCCUUACAUCUAUAGACACUUUAAAUAAUAAAAGCUCAAUUGUGAUA